ensembl:lncRNA
CGUGCUUCCUUCUCUUCCUUCCCCAACCAGGGGAAUUCCUUCUAAUAAAAGUCUACACAGUAACUGGAAGGAAGGAAGGAAGGGAGGGAGGAAGGGAGGCGAGGGAGGAAGGAAGGAAGGAGGGAAGGAAAAAGUGAAAAGAAAGGGGGAGAGGGGAAGAAAAUGAUGAGAACUUUUGAAUGUUUAACAAAAGCAGUUGAAGAGCUACAAACCAGACAUUAAGCAGCCUGCAGCAAGUGAGAAGCCAGCCUGGUGGAGCCUGCAGGCAGCCCACUCUUGAACGUGCAGAGCGGCAGCCCUCGGCAUCCCCAGGAGGGACAGCACGUGGGAGGGCAGCUGGCCUUGCUCAGAUGCUCAGUGGCAGUGGAUGCAAUUAUGUAAGGUCUUACGAAAUGUGCAGGGCCGGUCCUGGAGCCCGCAGUGGGACUACGGAGGGCUCAUACCCACGCAGGAUAUUGAUCAGGCUAAAGCCAUCUACAUAUUUGCAAGCUUUGCCUGUCUGGGAUGAAUGGUCUUGAAGAGAAAAUGAUCAUAAUUUGCAUGAAGCUGACUCACCUCUGGGUAGAGAGAGAAAAGGAAACUAAGGGUUGGAGACAUGCAGCAGCUUUCACACAGCGAGUAAAGGGUAGGGGUAGUGACAAAAUAAGAACUCAAGCCUGCCUAUCUUCAAAGUAACCACGUUAUUUUCCAGGGGCUCAACUCUUUCCAGUACAUGGGUCAUACUUAGAUAGCAUUUCAAAGUGAAGGCCAAACAGCUAUGAGAAAAUAAGAAACCAGUGGGAAUUGGAGAAAAGAAGAUCAAGAAUCCUGCCUUCAUCCUUCCCCAGCCCACUACAGUGGCUCUCCUAAGGCCUCAAUUAUCCAAAUAUCUACUCUGUUAAAGAAACUCAGAAUAUGCCUCUCUAAACAGGGGAGAAUGUAAUAUACUUGACUCCUCACAGAUUUGAUGAUCAUUUUGG